UUGCCUUGGGUGUAAUUGUAUGUGUUCAGAAGUGAUGUCUUUCACUUCCAGUGCUUGUCAGCAUGCUCUCUGCAGGGGUUUGCUCUCAGUAGAUGGCAAAAACUAUGAUUCUUCAGGUCACCGAGCUAGAGUGUGAGCGAUAUUUUAUUUUGGUUUUCUUUAUAGCAAUGCAGUGUCUCCCGAGAACAGAUUCAGACUGAACAGAUUUGUGUCAGACUUUGGGAGACCGCUGGUGCCCCAGAUGUUCUCUGGCAGGUCAAUGACGAAUCUAGGUCCAUCUUUCACUGCUACGUCAAUGAAGUGGGCCACUUCGACAAGGCCAAAGCUAGUAUCCCAACCAUAGCCCUUGACAGUGAUGUUCGGCUCCAGGAAGCCAUCAGAUGCAGCAGGUGGCCAGAGGAGGAGCCGAACUUGCUCAUCAAAUGUGACAUCCCCAACUUCAUCAACACGGACCAGAACUCUUCCUUUGGGGAAGAUGAUCUGAUUUUCGAACCACCGAAUGUUCUAGAAAAUAAGCCAGUUGCCCAGACCCCACACAAAGACUUGAAUUGAGAAACGUGCUUUGUCAGGUGUCUUUUUGAAGAUAUGAAUUUUGUCUUUGUAUGGCAGGAAGUCCCCUUUCACAAAAUUGUAUGUGUUUUUGUCUGAGAGAGAGAAAUGGAGACAGACAGAAAGACGAAGAAGCAGAAGAGAGCGCCCUCAGAAGAGAGCUAGUUAAGAAUCCUUGAGAGGUCCCUGUCAUCAUUGUCAGUAUCAUCAUCAUCAUCACCAUCAUCAUGGAACUGAUUCCUCUGGGAGAUUCUAGGAAAAUAAAGAGCCGGACGGGGUUAUGUGAAGCAUCCCAGACUGACGAAGACAGUGGAGAAUGCCUCUGAGUUUGGCACUGAUUGCCUGGAGAAUGCUGAAACCCAGGGAAGUGGGCAGCACAGACGUUUACUCAUUUAAUCCUGCCAACACAGUAGGAGAUAGAGUCCACAUAUUCCUCGCUACUUAAAAGAUCCCUGCCUUCUCUCUGCUCCUCCUGUCCAUGUCUCUUCCUCCACUUUUCCCCUUCUCCCGUCCUCCUCCCAUCUUCUCCGUCCCUUGCUUCCCCACCUUCUCUCACAGAACUCGGAGAGGAUCUCUGGCCAUCCUGCGCAUGCGCAGUCUUUGCCAGCUGGAAUGAGGGUUGGAAGCUCCAGCUCCGAGCCGGGGAUCGGCCCCAAAGGCUGCUCAGCUCUUUCGCCCGGUAGGACAUUUGCUCCUGCCCCGGCGCCCCGGCCACAGCUGUCCAGGGCCAGGUGU